GACGAACGCUGGCGGCGUGCUUAACACAUGCAAGUCGAACGGAAAGGCCUGCUUUCCCUUGUGGAUUGCGGGUACUCGAGUGGCGAACGGGUGAGUAACACGUGAGUGAUCUGCCCCCAACUUGGGUAUAAGCCUGGGAAACUGGGUCUAAUUCCCGAUAGGACUGCAGGGUGGUGCCUGUGGUGGAAAACGAUUUUCUAGUGGUUGGGGAUGAGCUCGCGGCCUAUCAGCUUGUUGGUGGGGUAAUGGCCUACCAAGGCGGCGACGGGUAGCCGGCCUGAGGUGGUGGACGGCCACAUUGGGACUGAGAUACGGCCCAGACUCCUACGGGAGGCAGCAGUGGGGAAUAAUGCACAAUGGGCGGAAGCCUGAUGCAGCGACGCCGCGUGGGGGAUGACGGCCUUCGGGUUGUAAACUCCUUUCGACCGCGAGGAAGCCACCUGGUUGGAAGGGUGGUGACGGUAGUGGUAGAAGAAGCACCGGCUAACUACGUG
rnacentral:rRNA from 1 species